rnacentral:rRNA from 1 species
AUUGAACGCUGGCGGCAUGCUUUACACAUGCAAGUCGAACGGCAGCGCGGGCUUCGGCCUGGCGGCGAGUGGCGAACGGGUGAGUAAUACAUCGGAACGUGCCCAGUAGUGGGGGAUAGCUCGGCGAAGGCCGGAUUAAUACCGCAUACGACCUGAGGGUGAAAGCGGGGGAUCUUCGGACCUCGCGCUAUUGGAGCGGCCGAUGGCAGAUUAGCUAGUUGGUGGGGUAAAGGCCUACCAAGGCGACGAUCUGUAGCUGGUCUGAGAGGACGACCAGCCACACUGGGACUGAGACACGGCCCAGACUCCUACGGGAGGCAGCAGUGGGGAAUUUUGGACAAUGGGCGAAAGCCUGAUCCAGCAAUGCCGCGUGUGUGAUGAAGGCCUUCGGGUCGUAAAGCACUUUUGGCGGGAACGAAAAGGACUGUGCCAAUACCACGGUUCGAUGACGGUACCCGCAGAAUAAGCACCGGCUAACUACGUG